rnacentral:piRNA from 1 species
UCAGACUAAACAUAGCCGUGCCUCUCUGC